rnacentral:lncRNA from 1 species
AAAACAACACACGCACUAGAUUUUCAAUAACUUGCCGGACUUUCACAUGCCUACCCAUACCAAUAAACAACCCGAAUGUUGUUUUAAUGACUAUUACCCCUGCCAAUUCCUAACCUAUAGCCUCAAUCAACCCAAAGAACAAGGCACAUUCCACUCCUUUUUCAUCACUCAAAACCCCACCACAACCAGCUUCAUCCUCCAUUAC